UGGGAUGUGGUGUAAUUGGUAACACAGCUGACUCUGGAUCAGCCAUUCCUGGUUCGAGUCCAGGCAUCCCAGCCA
rnacentral:tRNA from 1 species